rnacentral:lncRNA from 1 species
AUAGAGUUGUGAAUGAGACUUGGACAUAAUAUGUAAUUAAAUACAUAAUAGGGGUUUAGAAGAAAAUGAGAACUAGAGCUUAGAAAGUAGCGCCUUUGCAUAGAGAUGGACAAUUUGAUUUGAAUGCAGUUUGAGAGAUUUUGGAGGGAGGGGGGGGGGUCAUUUUUACAAAUUAGGGAAUGUUUUCUAUUUCUUAAAUAUUUUGUUGUACUCAUGGGAUUCCGGUUACCAUUGAUGAUUUGGUUAGAUUCGUAGAGAUUCUCUACUAGAGAAUCAUCUUCUUUUUCAGUUAGGCGUUUUUGCUUUUUGUAUACGAGAUAUUGCUCCAAUAUAUCACUACAAUUAUUACUUUAUCAGAGAAAAAUAAUAGUUGUUCUCUAUACACAAUCAUACUUCUAACAUUCUCUGUCUUUGUCUGGUUAGAUCUACACUAAUGUCUUAUAACUGUCUCAUCAGUCAUCACUGAUACAAACUUUAAUUGGCUACUUUUUAAAUUGCUCCUGCUCCACUUUGUCGAGCCUCUAGAAGUAGAUUUGUGAUUUAUUUAAAAAAUGCUUUAUAUGAUAGCUAAAGUAAAAGACCUCUUGCACUUGCA